rnacentral:rRNA from 1 species
GACGAACGCUGGCGGCGUGCCUAAUACAUGCAAGUCGAACGCAUUUUCUUUCACCGUAGCUUGCUACACCGAAAGAAAAUGAGUGGCGAACGGGUGAGUAACACGUGGGUAACCUGCCCAUCAGCGGGGGAUAACACUUGGAAACAGGUGCUAAUACCGCAUAAUUCCAUUUACCGCAUGGUAGAUGGAUGAAAGGCGCUUUUGCGUCACUGAUGGAUGGACCCGCGGUGCAUUAGCUAGUUGGUGGGGUAACGGCCUACCAAGGCUGCGAUGCAUAGCCGACCUGAGAGGGUGAUCGACCACACUGGGACUGAGACACGGCCCAGACUCCUACGGGAGGCAGCAGUAGGGAAUCUUCGGCAAUGGACGCAAGUCUGACCGAGCAACGCCGCGUGAGUGAAGAAGGUUUUCGGAUCGUAAAACUCUGUUGUUAGAGAAGAACAAGGAUGAGAGUGGAAAGUUCAUCCCUUGACGGUAUCUAACCAGAAAGCCACGGCUAACUACGUG